rnacentral:lncRNA from 1 species
CGAUAGAGCAAACGGGGGGGUAGAGAAAGCAGAGAAGGGUGGAUGGGGGAGGGAGAAAAGAAGGAGGUGAUUGUUGGGGAGUUAGGAAGAAUGUAUAAAACGAGGGCCAGAGAGAGGGGGAGAGAGUGAAUGAACAGAAAGAGAGAGAAGAAACAUUGGUGGCAAGAUUUUUGAAAGCAAUAAAGGACUAUCGAAAAAUCAGAGGAACCAAAACGGCACAAAACAGGCUUCUUAUGAAGGUAGGUAACUAGCUGUACUAGCAACAGUUUACCCCAUACCAUGGCCUAGUUAGCCAGAUCCAGAUGUUGAGAUGUCUUAACAUGCGGCCAUACAGUAACAUAUGAACGCAGUUUUUUUGCAACCAGGCUGUGCCCUGCCUCCUAGAGUUUGUUUAGCAGACAAAUAAAGAUACACACUCCAACUCAGUUUAAGGUGGGGAAAAGUGGUAGGAAAUAAUGUGACAUCCUCCAACAGCUACAUCAUUUGGGCAGCUGUAAAGACCAAUAAGCUUGAAAAUUUGCUGACGCUUGUUAAAUAAAAGUCAGAUGAAUCUAACCAAGCCAACCCCCUAUGUAUGUUAAUUUGGCUGCUGAUCCAGCCUCUCCAACUAGUGUGUGUACAUGAAAUAUUAUAAUGAUAUUUGUUUCUUCUCCUUCGCUGCAGAUGUAAAGGACAAAUUUUGCGUCAUGAUUAAUCUACAGCGGUCAAGUAGAUGGAGGUCUGCCGACGGUCAGGCGUAGAGUGAUGCUGCUUACACUCCACGAUGGGUACACUUCACCCAUCUGGACUUCCUGGAGGACACUUAGACCAUGGUAAAGCUAGGACGAUAUGGCCACACCUUCAUCUCCAACUACAAGACCACUUUUCAGGAAGUUGAUAAAAUGCACAAUGAGCCCAGAAGACCCCUCCCACCCUCUGCAGUGCAACCACCAGUCCAAGCACAAAGUGGGUCAAGUCCAGAUGGAGAGACACCCCAGACCUCCAGAAGGAGAGUCCAUCCCAGUGGGAAUAAUCAGGCGAAGGAGGUAUCAGCCACCGAGUCCGAUCCGUCUGCAGUUGUUGGGAUGCUACCAACACUUCAAUCGAUGGCCGAAAGUGGACAUCCAGCAACUGCUGAAAUAUCUUUUUCAAUAUUUAAAUAGCGAGUGAGAAUUUGAGAGAGCAGAGAUAUUGAAAUGGUGAGUAAUGUUUGUAUGUGUUCAUUGUGCAUACAUGAUUAAAUCGAUUAACCUACA